rnacentral:rRNA from 1 species
CUCAGGAUGAACGCUAGCGGCAGGCUUAAUACAUGCAAGUCAGGGGCAGCAUGAGUAGCAAUACUUGAUGGCGACCGGGCAAACGGGUGCGGAACACGUACACAACCUUCCUUAAGUGGGAAUAGCCCAGAGAAUUUGGAUUAAUACCCCGUAACAUAUAGAUGUGGCAUCACAAUUAUAUUAUAGGUUUACCGCUUAAAGAUGGGUGUGCGGCUGAUUAGAUAGUUGGCGGGGUAAUGGCCCACCAAGUCUACGAUCAGUAGCUGAUGUGAGAGCAUGAUCAGCCACACGGGCACUGAGACACGGGCCCGACUCCUACGGGAGGCAGCAGUAAGGAAUAUUGGACAAUGGACGCAAGUCUGAUCCAGCCAUGCCGCGUGAAGGAUUAAGGUCCUCUGGAUUGUAAACUUCUUUUAUAUGGGACGAAAAAGGGCAUUCUUGCUCACUUGACGGUACCAUAUGAAUAAGCACCGGCUAACUCCGUG